rnacentral:rRNA from 1 species
CGCGGCCUAUCAGCUUGUUGGUGAGGUAAUGGCUCACCAAGGCGUCGACGGGUAGCCGGCCUGAGAGGGCGACCGGCCACACUGGGACUGAGAUACGGCCCAGACUCCUACGGGAGGCAGCAGUGGGGAAUAUUGCACAAUGGGCGCAAGCCUGAUGCAGCGACGCCGCGUGGGGGAUGAAGGCCUUCGGGUUGCAAACCUCUUUCAGUAUCGGCGAAGCUUCGGGGUUUUCCUCGGGGUGACGGUAGGUACAGAAGAAGCACCGGCUAACUACGUGCCAGCAGCCGCGGUAAUACGUAGGGUGCGAGCGUUGUCCGGAAUUACUGGGCGUAAAGAGCUCGUAGGUGGUUUGUCGCGUUGUUCGUGAAAACUCACAGCUCAACUGUGGGCCUGCGGGCGAUACGGGCAGACUAGAGUACUGCAGGGGAGACUGGAAUUCCUGGUGUAGCGGUGGAAUGCGCAGAUAUCAGGAGGAACACCGGUGGCGAAGGCGGGUCUCUGGGCAGUAACUGACGCUGAGGAACGAAAGCGUGGGGAGCGAACAGGAUUAGAUACCCUGGUAGUCCACGCCGUAAACGGUGGGUACUAGGUGUGGGUUACCUUCCUUUAGGGAUCCGUGCCGUAGCUAACGCAUUAA